CAGUAACAGGAGUCUGGUGCAGGAGUCUGGAGCAGGAGCUGGAACAGGAUCUGGAGCAGGAGCAUGGUGCAGGAUCUGGAGCAGGAGCAUGGUGCAGGAGUCUGGAGCAGGA